AGUGAACGCUGGCGGUAGGCCUAACACAUGCAAGUCGAACGGCAGCACAGGAGAGCUUGCUCUCUGGGUGGCGAGUGGCGGACGGGUGAGGAAUACAUCGGAAUCUACUCUGUCGUGGGGGAUAACGUAGGGAAACUUACGCUAAUACCGCAUACGACCUACGGGUGAAAGCAGGGGAUCUUCGGACCUUGCGCGAUUGAAUGAGCCGAUGUCGGAUUAGCUAGUUGGCGGGGUAAAGGCCCACCAAGGCGACGAUCCGUAGCUGGUCUGAGAGGAUGAUCAGCCACACUGGAACUGAGACACGGUCCAGACUCCUACGGGAGGCAGCAGUGGGGAAUAUUGGACGAUGGGCGCAAGCCUGAUCCAGCCAUACCGCGUGGGUGAAGAAGGCCUUCGGGUUGUAAAGCCCUUUUGUUGGGAAAGAAAUCCAGCUGGCUAAUACCCGGUUGGAUGACGGUACCCAAAGAAUAAGCACCAGCUAACUUCGUGCCAGCCGCCGCCGUAA
rnacentral:rRNA from 1 species